rnacentral:rRNA from 1 species
AUUGAACGCUGGCGGCAGGCCUAACACAUGCAAGUCGAGCGGAUGAAGGGAGCUUGCUCCUGGAUUCAGCGGCGGACGGGUGAGUAAUGCCUAGGAAUCUGCCUGGUAGUGGGGGAUAACGUCCGGAAACGGGCGCUAAUACCGCAUACGUCCUGAGGGAGAAAGUGGGGGAUCUUCGGACCUCACGCUAUCAGAUGAGCCUAGGUCGGAUUAGCUAGUUGGUGGGGUAAAGGCCUACCAAGGCGACGAUCCGUAACUGGUCUGAGAGGAUGAUCAGUCACACUGGAACUGAGACACGGUCCAGACUCCUACGGGAGGCAGCAGUGGGGAAUCUUGGGCCCUGGGCGCCCGCCUGCUCCCGCCCUGCCGCGUGUGUGAAGAAGGUCUUCGGAUUGUAAAGCACUUUAAGUUGGGAGGACGGGCAGUAAGUUAAUACCUUGCUGUUUUGACGUUACCCCCAGAAUCCGCACCGGCUCCCUUCGUG